GCGGUUAUGGCGGAAUUGGCAGACGCGCCAGAUUUAGGUUCUGGUGGGAGACCGUGCAGGUUCAAGUCCUGUUAACCGCA
rnacentral:tRNA from 7 species